rnacentral:siRNA from 1 species
CUACCCUUAACUAAACUCCCCUGA